rnacentral:hammerhead_ribozyme from 1 species
AUCCAACUGAUGAGUCCCAAAUAGGACUAAACACACAUCAAAUUGGAU